UACGUAGGGGGCAAGCGUUAUCCGGAUUUACUGGGUGUAAAGGGAGCGUAGACGGCUGUGCAAGCCAGAUGUGAAAGCCCGGGGCUCAACCCCGGGACUGCAUUUGGAACUGUGUAGCUGGAGUGUCGGAGAGGCAGGCGGAAUUCCUAGUGUAGCGGUGAAAUGCGUAGAUUUUAGGAGGAACACCAGUGGCGAAGGCGGCCUGCUGGACGAUGACUGACGUUGAGGCUCGAAAGCGUGGGGAGCAAACAGG
rnacentral:rRNA from 1 species